GAUGAACGCUGGCGGCGUGCCUAAUACAUGCAAGUCGAGCGAACAGACGAGGAGCUUGCUCCUCUGACGUUAGCGGCGGACGGGUGAGUAACACGUGGAUAACCUACCUAUAAGACUGGGAUAACUUCGGGAAACCGGAGCUAAUACCGGAUAAUAUAUUGAACCGCAUGGUUCAAUAGUGAAAGACGGUUUUGCUGUCACUUAUAGAUGGAUCCGCGCCGCAUUAGCUAGUUGGUAAGGUAACGGCUUACCAAGGCGACGAUGCGUAGCCGACCUGUGAGGGGGGUAGGCCACACUGGAACUGAGACGCGGUCCAGACUCCUACGGGAGGCAGCAGUCGGGAAUCGUCCGCAAUGGGCGGAAGCCUGACGGAGCAACGCCGCGUGAGUGAUGAAGGUCUUCGGAUCGUAAAACUCUGUUAUUAGGGAAGAACAAAUGUGUAAGUAACUAUGCACGUCUUGACGGUACCUGAUCAGAAAGCCACGGCUAACUACGUG
rnacentral:rRNA from 1 species